rnacentral:rRNA from 1 species
UACGUAGGGUGCGAGCGUUAAUCGGAAUUACUGGGCGUAAAGCGUGCGCAGGCGGUUUUUUAAGACAGAUGUGAAAUCCCCGGGCUUAACCUGGGGACUGCAUUUGUGACUGUAAGACUAGAGUGCGGCAGAGGGGGGUAGAAUUCCACGUGUAGCGGUGAAAUGCGUAGAUAUGUGGAGGAAUACCGAUGGCGAAGGCAGACCCCUGGGUCGACACUGACGCUGAUGCGCGAAAGCGUGGGGAGCAAACAGG